rnacentral:rRNA from 1 species
UACGGGGGGGGCAAGCGUUGUUCGGAAUUACUGGGCGUAAAGGGCUCGUAGGCGGCCAACUAAGUCAUACGUGAAAUCCCUCGGCUUAACCGGGGAACUGCGUCUGAUACUGGAUGGCUUGAGUUCGGGAGAGGGAUGCGGAAUUCCAGGUGUAGCGGUGAAAUGCGUAGAUAUCUGGAGGAACACCUGUGGUGAAGACAGCUUACUGGACCACUUCUGACGCUGAGACACGAAAGCGUGGGUAGCAAACAGG